UACAGGGGGUGCAAGCGUUGUUCGGAAUUAUUGGGCGUAAAGGGCGCGUAGGCGGUGCUGUAAGUCUGUAGUGAAAUCUCUGGGCUCAACUCAGAGUCUGCUAUAGAAACUGCAGUGCUGGAGUGUGGGAGAGGUGAGUGGAAUUCCCGGUGUAGCGGUGAAAUGCGUAGAUAUCAAGUGGAACACCAGUGGCGAAGGCGAGUCUCUGGACAUUUCCUGACGCUGAGGCACGAAAGCCAGGGGAGCAAACGGG
rnacentral:rRNA from 1 species